rnacentral:rRNA from 1 species
ANUUCGCGNCUANCAUGCAAGUCGAACGAUGAUCAGGAAGCUUGCUCCUGUGAUUAGUGGCGAACGGGUGAGUAACACGUGAGUAACCUGCCCCUGACUCUGGGAUAAGCGUUGGAAACGACGUCUAAUACUGGAUAUGAUCACUGGCCGCAUGGUCUGGUGGUGGAAAGAUUUUUUGGUUGGGGAUGGACUCGCGGCCUAUCAGCUUGUUGGUGAGGUAAUGGCUCACCAAGGCGACGACGGGUAGCCGGCCUGAGAGGGUGACCGGCCACACUGGGACUGAGACACGGCCCAGACUCCUACGGGAGGCAGCAGUGGGGAAUAUUGCACAAUGGGCGAAAGCCUGAUGCAGCAACGCCGCGUGAGGGAUGACGGCCUUCGGGUUGUAAACCUCUUUUAGUAGGGAAGAAGCGAAAGUGACGGUACCUGCAGAAAAAGCACCGGCUAACUACGUGCCAGCAGCCGCGGUAAUACGUAGGGUGCAAGCGUUGUCCGGAAUUAUUGGGCGUAAAGAGCUCGUAGGCGGNUUUGUCGCGUCUGCUGUGAAAUCCCGAGGCUCAACCUCGGGNCUUGCAGUGGGUACGGGCAGACUAGAGUGCGGUAGGGGAGAUUGGAAUUCCUGGUGUAGCGGUGGAAUGCGCAGAUAUCAGGAGGAACACCGAUGGCGAAGGCAGAUCUCUGGGCCGUAACUGACGCUGAGGAGCGAAAGCGUGGGGAGCGAACAGGAUUAGAUACCCUGGUAGUCCACGCCGUAAACGUUGGGCGCUAGAUGUAGGGACCUUUCCACGGUUUCUGUGUCGUAGCUAACGCAUUAAGCGCCCCGCCUGGGGAGUACGGCCGCAAGGCUAAAACUCAAAGGAAUUGACGGGGGCCCGCACAAGCGGCGGAGCAUGCGGAUUAAUNUCGAUGCAACGCGAAGAACCUUACCAAGGCUUGACAUACACCGGAAACGGCCAGAGAUGGUCGCCCCCUUGUGGUCGGUGUACAGGUGGUGCAUGGUUGUCGUCAGCUCGUGUCGUGAGAUGUUGGGUUAAGUCCCGCAACGAGCGCAACCCUCGUUCUAUGUUGCCAGCGCGUUAUGGCGGGGACUCAUAGGAGACUGCCGGGGUCAACUCGGAGGAAGGUGGGGAUGACGUCAAAUCAUCAUGCCCCUUAUGUCUUGGGCUUCACGCAUGCUACAAUGGCCGGUACAAAGGGCUGCGAUACCGUAAGGUGGAGCGAAUCCCAAAAAGCCGGUCUCAGUUCGGAUUGAGGUCUGCAACUCGACCUCAUGAAGUCGGAGUCGCUAGUAAUCGCAGAUCAGCAACGCUGCGGUGAAUACGUUCCCGGGCCUUGUACACACCGCCCGUCAAGUCAUGAAAGUCGGUAACACCCGAAGCCGGUGCCUAACCCUUGUGAAGAGCCUCAAGUGUANC